CUACGUGCCAGCAGCCGCGGUAAUACAGAGGGUGCGAGCGUUAAUCGGAAUUACUGGGCGUAAAGCGAGCGUAGGUGGCUAAUUAAGUCACAUGUGAAAUCCCUGGGCUUAACCUAGGAACUGCAUGUGAUACUGGUUAGCUAGAGUAUGUGAGAGGGGUGUAGAAUUCCAGGUGUAGCGGUGAAAUGCGUAGAGAUCUGGAGGAAUACCGAUGGCGAAGGCAGCACCCUGGCAUAAUACUGACACUGAGGUUCGAAAGCGUGGGUAGCAAACAGGAUUAGAUACCCUGGUAGUCCACGCCGUAAACGAUGUCUACUAGCCGUUGGGGUCCAUGAGACUUUAGUGGCGCAGUUAACGCGAUAAGUAGACCGCCUGGGGAGUACGGCCGCAAGGUUAAAACUCAAAUGAAUUGACGGGGGCCCGCACAAGCGGUGGAGCAUGUGGUUUAAUUCGAUGCAACGCGAAGAACCUUACCUGGUCUUGACAU
rnacentral:rRNA from 1 species